rnacentral:ribozyme from 1 species
GGAGGGUUCUUCGGCGAGCAAAUCAGAGAGCACGCCAGAGCGCAACACCCAGCACAACCUCGAGUCGAGUCAGAUCAACCA